UACGUAGGGGGCCAGCGUUGUCCGGAAUCAUUGGGCGUAAAGAGCGUGUAGGCGGUCCGGUAAGUCCGCUGUGAAAGUCCAGGGCUCAACCCUGGGAUGCCGGUCGAUACUGCCGGACUAGAGUUCGGAAGAGGCGAGUGGAAUUCCCGGUGUAGCGGUGAAAUGCGCAGAUAUCGGGAGGAACACCUAUGGCGAAGGCAGCUCGCUGGGACGUUACUGACGCUGAGACGCGAAAGCGUGGGGAGCAAACAGG
rnacentral:rRNA from 1 species